rnacentral:rRNA from 1 species
UACGUAGGAUGCAAGCGUUGUCCGGAUUUACUGGGCGUAAAGCGCGCGCAGGCGGCACUCUAAGUACGUCGUGAAAUAUCCCGGCUCAACCGGGAGGGUGCGAUGUAGACUAGGGAGCUAGAGGUCGGUAGAGGGGGGUGGAAUUGCUGGUGUAGCGGUGAAAUGCGUAGAGAUGUGGAGGAACACCAGUGGCGAAGGCGACUCUUUGGCCUGUAACUGACGCUGAGGCGCGAAAGCGUGGGGAGCAAACAGG